UGCUCAUAUUUGAAAGAGGAACUGGAGUUAGAGGUCGGGUGGUGCUUUAAAUUGUUGGGAACUGAAAUCUCCCUAAUAACUACCAUACGUGAGAUGUUCCACAUCAGAGCUUUUAUUUCAGAAAGCCUUUUGCUUUAAAACCUCUUUUCUUUCUGAAGAGAGAAGUAUCAUCUAAUGCACGCAUUAACCCCAGGGACUGCUGUCCUGUGAAACUGAACCAGCUCAGAAAUAGCAGUGUUUGUCUUUGUAUCCAGUACUGCGUGGGCUGAUUUACACUUUUCAGUUCUUUCUCAUUUCUUCCUUUUGGGUAUAGAUGUAUGGAUUUGUAUGGGAACUGUUGAGUCAUGGUCGCACCACUGAUUGAGAACCAGGGAAAAGGACCUGGUCAGCCCUGGAAGCACAGUUUAAGCAGAUCUACAAUGUGAUUGCAUGCACGAGAGAUCUGAGGUCUGAUGUGGCAGUGUGUACGCCAAGGACAUGACCGGACCAUGUGACAAACGGGUAACAGUGGUCACUGGGAAGCUUAACAUCGUUAUGAAGCAAGAGAUGAGCCCAUUGGGAUACUGGCAGCUCAGAGGAUUUGCACCAAGAUGGUUUUUGAGGAAGCCAAUGGCAAGAAACUGGAAAGUAGGAAUGGUACAUCAAGACAAUUGGAAGUGAUCCUGCAGAGAUGAUGCUGGCUGUUGAUAGUGUGCAACAAAAACUGGGCUUCACCACAUCUCUGGAAGAUUAGUAAACACAUUAC